rnacentral:tRNA from 1 species
CCGGCGGUGGUCAAAUGGUCAUCACGGUAGGCUUACAACCUUCGUGUCCCGGGUUCGAAUCCCGCUUCAGCCGCCGGU